rnacentral:pre_miRNA from 1 species
GAGACACCCUGAUGGAGCAGGACUUGCUUCAGUGGGACUUUGGUGCUCACUGAGUCUUCACCUUGAGUGUGUCAUU